rnacentral:rRNA from 1 species
UGGGGAAUAUUGGACAAUGGGGGCAACCCUGAUCCAGCAAUGCCGCGUGUGUGAAGAGGGCCUUCGGGUUGUAAAGCACUUUAGGCUGGGAGGAAGUUGCGCUGUUUAAGAGAUGACGUAAUUGACUGUACCGGCAGAAUAAGCACCGGCUAACUCUGUGCCAGCAGCCGCGGUAAUACAGAGGGUGCAAGCGUUAAUCGGAGUUACUGGGCGUAAAGGGCGCGUAGGCGGUUAUAUAAGUUUUAUGUGAAAUCCCUGGGCUUAACCUAGGACGUGCAUAGAGGACUGUAUAGCUGGAGUACUGUAGAGGGUAGUGGAAUUUCCGGUGUAGCGGUGAAAUGCGUAGAGAUCGGAAGGAACACCAGUGGCGAAGGCGGCUACCUGGACAGAUACUGACGCUGAGGCGCGAGAGCGUGGGGAGCAAACAGG